GGAAGGGGUGUAUUUAUUAGAUUAAAAACCAAUGCCCUUCGGGGCUCUCUGGUGAUUCAUAAUAACUUCUCGAAUCGCACGGCCUUGCGCCGGCGAUGGUUCAUUCAAAUUUCUGCCCUAUCAACUUUCGACGGCUGGGUCUUGGCCAGCCGUGGUGACAACGGGUAACGGAGGGUUAGGGCUCGACCCCGGAGAAGGAGCCUGAGAAACGGCUACUACAUCCAAGGAAGGCAGCAGGCGCGCAAAUUACCCAAUCCCGACACGGGGAGGUAGUGACAAUAAAUACUGAUACAGGGCUCUUUCGGGUCUUGUAAUUGGAAUGAGUACAAUUUAAAUCCCUUAACGAGGAACAAUUGGAGGGCAAGUCUGGUGCCAGCAGCCGCGGUAAUUCCAGCUCCAAUAGCGUAUAUUAAAGUUGUUGAGGUUAAAAAGCUCGUAGUUGAACCUUGGGCCUAGCCGGCCGGUCCGCCUCACCGCGUGCACUGGCUCGGCUGGGUCUUUCCUUCUGGAGAACCGCAUGCCCUUCACUGGGUGUGCUGGGGAACCAGGACUUUUACA
rnacentral:rRNA from 1 species